rnacentral:misc_RNA from 1 species
UACUGGCAGGAUCAACCAGGCAACAGUGAAGAACAAGUAUCCUCUUCCCCGGAUCGAUGAGCUCUUCGACCAGCUUCAGGGAGCCCAGUUUUUCUCGAGGGUGGACUUGAGGUCGGGAUAUCACCAGCUACGAGUUAGAGAGCAGGAUGUGCAGAAGACGGCGUUUCGUACUCGUUAUGGGCAUUAUGAGUUCCUUGUGAUGCCAUUCAGGUUAACGAAUGCGCCGGCAGUGUUCAUGGCUUUGAUGAACAAGAUCUUCGCUCCACAUCUCGACAGUUUUGCAGUGGUGUUCAUCGACGAUGUGUUGGUCUAUUCUAAGACCAGAGAGGAGCAUGAGCAGCAUUUGAGGACAUCCUUGCAGUUGUUGCGCGACAACCAGAUGUAUGCAAAGCUCAGCA